rnacentral:lncRNA from 1 species
UGCAGAUGCAUAAGGCCACACCUUCACCUUUUAUAGCUGGUGGACCAUUUCUCAGUCCAGGAGUGUGCCACUGCUUUCCUAGAGAUAAUACUUUUUGUAGAGUUUGAAAUAAUCCUGUAAGAAGAGAUGAAAGUUCUUGUCUGCAUUUUGACAUAAACAAUGACAGCAACAAAAACAUAAAGAUGGGAUCAAGUUGAAGAUGGUUUAAGGAAUUUUAUUGGAUUUCUCCAAGUCAUCUUCAAGGUGAAGAAAUAAACCCAACUCAACCAAAUAAAAAUUUAGCUAC